rnacentral:rRNA from 1 species
AGUGGCGAACGGGUGAGUAACGCGUAGGAAUUUGCCCGGUAGUAGGGGAUAACUUGGGGAAACUCAAGCUAAUACCGCAUACGCCCUACGGGGGAAAGUGGGGGACCUUCGGGCCUCACGCUAUCGGAGAAGCCUGCGUCGGAUUAGCUAGUUGGUGGGGUAAUGGCUCACCAAGGCGACGAUCCGUAGCUGGUCUGAGAGGAUGAUCAGCCACACUGGGACUGAGACACGGCCCAGACUCCUACGGGAGGCAGCAGUGGGGAAUAUUGGACAAUGGGCGAAAGCCUGAUCCAGCAAUGCCGCGUGUGUGAAGGAGGCCUGCGGGUUGUAAAGCACUUUCAGCAGCCAAGAA